AAAAUAAUCAAAAUUAAUUUUAGAAACUUAAUUAAUGGGGUCUAAUUGUACCAAAAAUUAAUUAGUGGGAAGAGUUUUCAUAGAAGAUAACCUGGCAGAUUCUUAUUUUGUAAUAGAAUUUUAGUAGGAAAAGUUUUCAAAUAAGGAUGACCAUGUACAUCCUACCUUUUGCAAUGUUAUGCAUACGUGAGUGUGCCCGUCACAAUGUAAGUUCUGUCAUAUAAUUACAGGAUACUGAAUGGCUUGUCUUUGAAA
rnacentral:misc_RNA from 1 species